rnacentral:rRNA from 1 species
GAUGAACGCUGGCGGCGUGCCCAAUACAUGCAAGUCGAGCGAACAGACGAGAGUGCUUGCACUCUCUGACGUUAGCGGCGGACGGGUGAGUAACACGUGGGUAACCUACCUAUAAGACUGGGAUAACUUCGGGAAACCGGAGCUAAUACCGGAUAAUAUUUAGCUUCGCAUGAAGCAAUAGUGAAAGACGGUUCUGCUGUCACUUAUAGAUGGACCCGCGGUGUAUUAGCUAGUUGGUGAGGUAACGGCUCACCAAGGCAACGAUACAUAGCCGACCUGAGAGGGUGAUCGGCCACACUGGGACUGAGACACGGACCAGACUCCUACGGGAGGCAGCAGUAGGGAAUCUUCCGCAAUGGACGAAAGUCUGACGGAGCAAUGCCGCGUGAGUGAAGAAGGUUUUCGGAUCAUAAAACUCUGUUGUAAGGGAAGAACAAGUACGUUAGUAACUGAACGUACCUUGACGGUACCUUACCAGAAAGCCACGGCUAACUACGUG